GUAUAUAAACAUGCAGAAGAUGUGAAAACUUCACAAAGUUGGUCAAAAUCUACAUUUGUUUUAAACCGCUUCUGGCAGAUGUAGUCGCACAGUACGUUUGAAGUUUCUCCUUCAUAGCUGUUAAUAUUUUCGUGACGAGGAAAGAUAGCAGCUUGAUAGAAGACUUACUUCAUCCAUCAAGAGGUCAUCGACGGGGUUGCAUUCGAAGGCGUGGAAUAGAACGCCGAAGACGAUGAUAAAGGACAGUGAUACCUGGUUAAACAAUGAAGUGCCA